AUUUCAAAGGGGCAUAAAUCUUAUUAAAAAGUCAAUCGGCCACCAUUAUUGACAUAUUGUUGAUAUUAACCUAUAAUAGUGCAAGUUUUAUAAUAAUCUGACAAGAACGGUACCCGUGAGAGCGCUAACGAGGCCACAUUUCAUAAAUUUGAUAUUCCAAAGGAGAAUAUAUUAACUCUUUAAAAUAAAUUCGGACGGCCACCAUAACAAAACUUGUCCGCCAUUUUGCUAAUAUUUACAUAUAGUAUAAGUUUUAUAAAAAUCUGGCAAGAAAUGUACAUGUGUGAGUAGCGGUAACAAGAUUGUUCGCAUGGACGGGCGGACGCCCGGUAUUUCUAUGUUCCCCGCAAAAGCGUACAUGUACGCGGGGGACAGUAAAAAAAAGAAGUUGAACAACAC
rnacentral:lncRNA from 1 species